AUUUUUGUGGCCGAGGAUUUAGGCGGUAGAUUGUAAAUCUUCAUACGAUAAUUUAUCCCAAGCUC
rnacentral:tRNA from 1 species